CUUCCCUCCCUCGCCCCGCCCGGCUGUUCCCACGCCGCGGAACCUCCCGGCCCGGCCCGCUCUGUGGGGCACGGGGGAAGCAGCGGGGCCCGGCCCGGCGCACCCCGCGCCGCGGAAGCCGGGCCCAGACCCAGACACGUCGGCUCUAGCAGAGGGCGGCUGCCUUCCGCCCCGGGCCCGGGCCGGGGGAAAGGAGGCUGAGGCCCUGCCGGGGCCCGUCCUGUCCUGCCGCGGGGCCUGUGCUCUGCCACGGCCCGUGGGGGGCCGGGGGCGGUGAAGGAAAAGGGGAGCCAUGCCCGGUCCUCGCUGGGUUAUCUUUUUCCGGUGCUCGCCAGAAAUGCCUCGGAGGAGCUGAACAAUCACGAUGUGCACAGGGACAUGGGAAAGGCAUGGCAGUCCACUGCAGAGGCUCAAAAAAUGUUGGUGGAGAGGACGAGUCACGGAGAUCAUGCUGUAUCCAUGGUUGGAUAAUGGAGGGUGGAAAAGCAUACAUCUGGUUUGCUUGACAUCUCAACUUGGUCCCUUAACCCCAUUCUGUAGAGCAGAAACCAGCUGUAUCUGAUUUGACCUGAGCCUGCUGGAGACCACAAUGCAGAGUUCCGGCUAUCGUCUAGAAGUUAAUUCCAUGAAACUUUGUUAAAACAGGGUUAAAAAUUGGCAUAUGGGACACUGCCGUGGCAGGAUGCCUGCCUUCAGCUAAACCUUUAAAAAUCUGGACAUAAAGAGUUAAGGUGGUCCCAAGAGUUCAGCAGUAUCUCCAGGAGCAAGCUGCUGUUUUUGUGCUACAGAUGUUUCUGAAGACUAUUUCAAAGCGGGCAGAGUUAAGGCACAGUACAAACUGCUUUUUGGUGGUUGCAGCUUCUAUUAUUUUAAGUAUGUCUCCCAGAUUUUCAGAAGUUUUGUUUAGCAGAGGUAGGCAUUCUAAAUGGCCCAUGUCUGUAUUAACCUUUUGGGACAUUGGAUUUUUUUUUUUGUUUCAGGAAAACCUCAAACAGCCAUCCACUGUGCACCACAGCUCAACUGUCCUUUCACUGCUUUGAAUGCCUUUGCAGCAGUUACCUUAGCACAGUAGCUGCCCAGCUCAGCACCAUUCUGAGACACUGGACUAGUUCAUAAUACCUGGAAGCAGUACAGCCAGGUUGCUGUAAUAAUCCACCAGGACUAAUGAGCCCUGCUGAGGAUACGUGCAACACUGCCCUCCAACAUGGGCUGGUUCUUCCUCAGCACUCCCCAGAGUCCCAAAAGAGGAUCAAGCUUCAGUGAAAAACCUGUAGAUGGAAGUUGCAGAAACAGUGUGAGACUGACCAUGGAGUCAGUAAAAAAGGAGGCAGGGAGCUCAACACAGCAGUGAACAAAAGGGAAACUGGCAGGAUUAAGUGUGGAACAUUUCCUUCAGGUCAUAGCCCUUCAACUAAAUUCUUGUCUUAACUUUGGCAAAUUGCUCCAGGUUAGAGCCAGAAAAGGACUUGGCUGGGCUGUGGUUUCUCAGGCAGAAUUAACAUGCACAUGUUCCAUGUAAAAUAUGAUCCGUAUAUCCAGUGUGUCCUGGAUCUCAGGCAUUCAUUAUAAAAACUGUUGAAGAUGCAUAUGCUACUAUGUAAAGCACACAUCCAAGAUUUUCAGGUGCAUUGUAGCUGCUUCUGCAACAUGUUGCAUCUUCCUAAAUCUUGAACACGAUUCUGCCUCAGCAAAGUUUUCUGGCUAAAUAUGAGAACAUGUCCUAAAAAAAACUUAGAUUUAAAAUGAUCCAAGACUUCAUGUCUAACUUUUAGGCUGUCUGUAUCUAGAAAAAUCAUUAGCUUCAAUUAGUAGCUGAAGCUUCUUAAAGACUCAUGAAUAAAAAUAUUGAAAAACCUGAUUCCAAGAGUCCAGCCAAGUGUGCACAGGGCUGCCUACGGGAACCAGUAGGAUAUGAUAGGGCUAGCACUUGCCUCACCAGAAUUGAAACUCCUUCUGUCUGCAGCACAUCCAUGCCAAAGUGCUAGGCAGGAACUCUCAAUUAUUUUCCAGGCCAGAACAGUACCCUUCCUCAGAUGUUACCUCAUCCUUCUGCCCGUUCCUUGUGAGGAAAUGAACAAAAUAUUCAAGAGCCAAGGAUUAUUUCUGAGUAACAUUCAAGAAGAGAAGAACCUGAAAAGGUCACUGUCGUUUUCAUGCCAAAGUACUAAUUUGCAAUGCAUUUUGUGCUGUCCAAUGAGCCCCUCCCAGGCCUGCAUGGCUGCUCCCUCCCUUUUAUUUUCCUUCCUCUUUAAUGUCUGUCCUAUGUCCAGAGGGUAAUAGGAAAAAGAGGACAGAGAAACUGGUGCAACACAGCUUAUCUCUGGUUUGGGUUGCAGAAGGAAACACUCUACCAGAGAAAGAUGACCUGCAUAGUAUGGAACAUGUAAUAACACGGAAGAUUUUGACUUAAAAUAGAUAAAUGUUCACCACAAGAAAUUAAAUGCUUUCAGUACAUAUUUUAAUCAAUCUGAACAAAUGGCAAUAAAUCAUAUUUCAUAUAAAGCAAUAACUACAUACAUUUACACAGUUCCUUUUUUCACAUCUUCUCCAAAUAAACCUAAUACACAUCUCAGUUCUCAUGUAUUUCACAUACCUUCAUUCCACACCUGUUUUCCUUUCCUUCCACUUUUUCCCACCCACAAACAUUGCUCACACAUUCACUCAUUCCUUAGGCACACCUAUACCCAUUAACUCAAAAUUACAUAAGCAGCUUUUCUACAUAUGCCCUCCCUUGCCAUCUUCAGUGUUUAUAAUCACAGGUUCUACCUACACAGCUCUGUUAUACAUGCUCUUAUACCCAGGUCUUGAAUGAUAUCACAUUUUCCACAGAAAAUGUAAAUAUUUCCCACUGUAGGUUGUAUAUAAUAAGUUCUAAUUUUAUUGCUAUCCACAGCAAAAGCCAUUAACUCUGCAUAAAAAUCCCAACUUCAUUUUGGCUCUCCACUUCUUUCUCACAAUUGCUGGAAGCCAGUUCAGAACUGGUAUCUCAUUGUGUAUAACUGAUAUCUCAUUGUGUAUAACAACUCCAACCCCAUCUUCUAAUUGUGAAUACUUAUUUGCAAUUUAUUUCCCAUUUCCCAGAUAUUCCAUCCUCUGUGGGACCUUUGUAUUGUCUUGACACCUAACUAAAAAUUGUCACUUCUCUGGGAUCAUAGAUGUCAUCUGGAAGAGCAGAGCAAGUCUUCCUCAUCAUCAUCCUUAUGGCCAUCUCUUCCCAUAUACAACAGAUUAAAAUCAUAAGAGACUGGGACAUAAUUUCUCAUUAGCUCUGUCCCUUUGGGUCAUUUAUGUUUCCCACACAUAC